rnacentral:lncRNA from 1 species
ACAGGCGAGGGCGUUCGGCGACGUUACUGGGGCUGCACGGUGCUUGUAGCUGGGCAGUCUUAUCAUCAGAGUGGAGCCUGGUAACCACGACCUCCCCGCCAGGUCCUGUGUGUUGCUAGCUGGAGAAGGGUAGUUGAAAACUCAGACCAAGCACAGUGUUUAUAUCGGUCAAAACUGGAAAACUAUGUCCGGGCGCAGCCGAGGCUGGAGGAUCCCUUCAGGCCAAGAGCAACCUAGCAAUAUGGCGCGACCGGAUCUCUGUAGUCCUACCUCAACCCCCAGCUACUUGAACCCCAAGGUUGAAGGCUCCAGUGAGCUAUGAUCCCACCACAGCAUUGCAGCCUGCCAGACUGAGGGCUUGAGGAUCAGCCAGGUUUCAUGAGUUCAAUGCAGACCUGAAUCAUACCAAGCUGAGACUGGGGUACACACUCUCCUCUACUGAAAAGUAGUGAGGGAUUCCAACUUGGUGAGAGGGAGAGUGGGGGAGAGCCAGACCAGACAAGAGUGCUCACCUGGAAAAAGCCUGCCAUCAAAGGCCAUGACAUGAACUUAUGAAUUCAACACAUGAAGACUUACAACUUGAUAAACCAGCUUCAGGAGAUUGAGAAAACUUGUAUUCCUGUGAUUUCGAUAGUGAAGGAAGUAUGGUAUACCAGAAUCACUAAAUUAUGAAAGAUGGUAGAUCAGCUUUUUGCAAAAAAAUUUGGUUCCUGAAAGGGAGAGAGGAAAUCUUCGAUUUUUCAUGGCUGUGAACCACUGCAAGUAUUGAAGAAAUAUUUACUACUUCCAGCCUCAUAAUCCUGCAGUCAUUUGGCACCUCUGAAGCCUUGGGGAGCACUGAAGCCAAGGCUGCACCGUACCAAAAAUUUGAAACAUGUGAAUGAGCUGAAUGUGGAAGGACUACCGGAAAACACUCCUUUCAGAAUCCCCUCAUUGCAUGAAAUCCCAAGGCUCGAAAACAUCUUUCAAGUGAGCAAUUGAAUUAAGUUUGUUAUUAAGAGCUUGGUGAAAGGUAGAAGUUACACGUGAGAAGGCGGUGGAGCCAGGCACAUGAUGGAGCCUCGAAGAGUGGAAGGUGGCACCUGGCUCUGUGAGGAGGGUGUGAAGUCCUCCAUGGGAGGAAGAGAUGCCAGCAAAGGAGUAACUCCAGUUAGCCUCCAUUGUCUCCAAGCCGGCUUUUGUCCUCAUCCACAACGCCUCCACACAAGCUCUGAACACCUGUCCAUGUAAAAAUAUCAAGAAAUGCUGAGGCCCAUGUCCCAGAACAACAGUCCUUUAGGUGGAUCACACAUUCUCCACUACACCAAGCUCUACUCACAGGUUGGAGACACGCUUUUUGCAGA